GACAGAGGUGGCGAGCGUUGUCCGGAUUCACUGGGCGUAAAGGGCGUGUAGGCGGUCCGAUCAGUCAACUGUGAAAGGCGUCGGCUCAACCGAAGCAGUGCAGUUGAUACUGUCGGGCUGGAGCGUGGGAGAGGAAAGUGGAAUUCCCGGUGUAGCAGUGAAAUGCGUAGAUAUCGGGAAGAACACCAAUGGCGAAAGCGACUUUCUGGCCCAUUGCUGACGCUGAGGCGCGAAAGCCAGGGGAGCAAACGGG
rnacentral:rRNA from 1 species